rnacentral:rRNA from 1 species
CAGUCGCCGCGGUAAUACGUAGGGUGCAAGCGUUAAUCGGAAUUACUGGGCGUAAAGCGUGCGCAGGCGGUUCGGAAAGAAAGAUGUGAAAUCCCAGAGCUUAACUUUGGAACUGCAUUUUUAACUACCGGGCUAGAGUGUGUCAGAGGGGGGUGGAAUUCCACGUGUAGCAGUGAAAUGCGUAGAUAUGUGGAGGAACACCGAUGGCGAAGGCAGCCCCCUGGGAUAACACUGACGCUCAUGCACGAAAGCGUGGGGGGCAAACAGGAUUAGAUACCCCUGUAGUCCCUGUCUCUUAUAC